GGAAGCUGUGCCACGAUAACUCAGGCCUUUGCCUCGAUAGCACUCCUCUGAGACAGGACUGUGUUCGAGCACAUCAGUGACAUUAAUCUCUUGUUCUAUC